AACUAAUGACUGAGACUAUAUGCUGUCGACUUUGGUAGUGCAUUUGGUUACAUUCAGGAUGACUGGGUUGCUCUGCUGCUUGAUGGGCUUGAUCUUGGGGAGAAAAAUACAAAGUUUUAAGCUACGAAGUCUAAAGCAAAGUUUUGGGCACUAUGUAAAAGGCAUGUAGAUUUGUUUUCUUUAGCAAUCCUAUUUAUCCUUGAAGAAACAAGUAAGACUUUUUCUUUAUUCUUUUCACCAAAAGUCAAGGAUGAUUCCUGUCUGGCCCAAAAUACACACGUCACUUUGUGCUCAUUUCUGUCCUAGGGGAUUUGGUACUGUCUUAAUACAAGAUGCUGAACACAACAUGGUGGCCUUGUGCCGUAUCAUGGUUCUCAUCCUGAUGCUUACAUCUUUGGAAAGGAAAAAAAAACUCGUGUGCCAUCUUCAGCAUAGCUGUGUCCUCAUGCUGCAUGAUUUGAGGUUGCCAUCUCAGCCUCUGAUAUAGCACUGUAACACAGCCUGAGCGUUGACAGCUGCUGGCAGUUCCUUAGCAUGGAAAAAUCAUAAGGAUAACUGUAAAUGAGUUGAAAGGUAUCUCCUCCCUCCUACUCAUACUUGUCAGAACCCAGAAGAACAUGAAGUACUUCAACUUCAACCAAGGUAAGUCAUUGACCCAUUUUACUGAAGGUCUCUCUCAUCCAGAAAUGCUGUUUACUGCCACUUUCUCUAGUUGUUUACAGUCCAAUUCCACCCACCUUUGGGUAAAAGCAUGAUGAAGUUGUAUCAGUGUAAGGGAAGACAGUCAUAGCUCUAGAAUUAUGUGUGUUUCAAUUAACUUCAAGUAAGCAUAGCUUUAAGAAAUGGAUCUCGCCUAACAAAGUGAUUUAAUUCCCUUGAGCCUUGUUUUCAGAACAAGGUUCUGAAGUACAGAGAAAAGUACCCUUUAGCAAUGACAGCAGCAACACAGCAAAGGACUCACUGAAGGAAACUGCUCUAAAUGCUGUCUGGGCAAAUUUGAAACUUGGAACAAGGAAAAGACAUCUAGUGUUAGGAAACCAUACAAAAUAAUAAGAGAGGACUACAUAAGAUUCACAUACCUGCAGCUAUUGGAGACAGUGCCCGUGGACAGAGAUGGCAGCAAUUCAGAUUUGAGGGGAGGCUGAUUUGGAAAAAAAAAAAAAAAAAAAGAGCACAGAGUUCUACUUCAACUCUGGAAGUCUGCCUUGCUGGAUGAGCAUCUCCUGUGGGGUCCAGUCUGCUGUUUCAGAGAAAUUCUCCUGUAUGUAAGGACAGCAAAAAUGAUUCUCAAGCCAGAACAGAUGCAACCUGUGCCCAAAUGCCCCUUCCAAGGUACCAGAAAAGGGCUGUCCUGAGGUGUUAUCAUCCUCUUGGAGAAAAUGUCAGUGCUGUUUACCACAACCAGGUUUUCACUGAAGGAAACGAGUAAGAGCUUAUAUAUGUUUGACAGCAUAAAACAUGAAUAACAUGAAAACAUGAAAAACAUGAGGUCACUAAUUUUCAAGUUUUAAGCAAUGCUUCCUCUAAAAUCAGAACUGCCUUUGAAAAAGACAACUGUAUGAGAACCACGUUUAAAAUGUGUUAAGAAAUAUUAGUUUUAUUUAACCAGUUUUCACAGCUGAAUAUUUAUUCUAUAAAAACUUUACAGAUUGUACAGUUUAUAUAUAGUUCAAACU